rnacentral:rRNA from 1 species
UACAGAGGGUGCAAGCGUUGUUCGGAAUUAUUGGGCGUAAAGGGAGUGUAGGCGGUUCUUUAAGUCUGCUGUGAAAUCUACGGGCUUAGCUUGUAACGUGCAGAGGAAACUGAAGGGCUUGAGUGUCGGAGAGGAUAGGGGAAUUCCCGGUGUAGAGGUGAAAUUCGUAGAGAUCGGGAGGAACACCGGUGGCGAAGGCGCCUAUCUGGCUGACAACUGACGCUGAGACUCGAAAGCAUGGGGAGCAAACAGG